UAAUACAGAGGGUGCAAACGUUGCUCGGAAUUAUUGGGCGUAAAGCGCGUGUAGGCGGUUCGCUAAGUCGGCUGUGAAAGCCCAUGGCUCAACCAUGGAAGUGCAGCCGAGACUGGCGGGCUAGAGUCCUGGAGAGGGUGGCGGAAUGCCCAGUGUAGAGGUGAAAUUCGUAGAUAUUGGGUAGAACACCGGUGGCGAAGGCGGCCACCUGGACAGCGACUGACGCUAAGACGCGAAAGCGUGGGGAGCAAACAGG
rnacentral:rRNA from 1 species